AUGGCCGAAGUCAUCGUCCAGAGGGCAUGCGCGAAGCUCAGAUCUGCCAUAGGAGAUGAAGCCGUUGUGCGUUCCAACUUCAUCGGUGACCUGCGUUAUAUGUUGGGGGCGCUGGAGUCCAUCCAACCGGUGCUGGAGAGAGCCGAGAUGGAGCCGUUCAGGAGUAUACCGGUGGCGCGUUGGCUGCAGCUUGCCUGCAGCGCGGCCUGCAAGACCAUAGACACUGUCAAUGAGCUGCACGACGCGAGACCACAGGCUGCUGCAACGUUGACAAGGAUGCUGCCCCACCUUGCCAUCGUGAAGAAUGCCAUGGCCAUCGAGGUGCAGGAGACGAAAAAACUAGUGAUGCGGGCAGACGAGGAGAGGCCAAGUCGGUUUCCAAAUUAUUACACCGAAAUUACCGAGGAACCAAAAACUCGACCAGUUUCUGAGGAAGCAAUGAUUUUUGGAAGAGGAUCAGAUAAAGAGAGGAUAAUAGCCGCCCUGCUAUGUAGUACUGAGCCCAACAUCACGCAAGAGCACAUCACCAUUCUUCCCAUCUAUGGGCUUGAAGGCAGCGGCAAGACAACCUUGGCACAAAUGGUAUUUAACGGUACCCACUCCCUUCAAGGCUAUGACUUCCGGGUAUGGUUUCAUGUGUCUCCCCAGUUGGACUUCCAUGCACUAGGUAACUCCAUUAUUUGUCACGUGUUGGAAAGGCGACAAGAAGCUUCAGACAUGGAGGGGAUGGAGGGUAUAAUGAAGCGCCUUCACGAGCUACUUCAUCGUAAGAAGGUGCUCCUUAUAUUGGAUGACCUGUGGGAGGAGGAUUCCAUUCAGUUACAGCUGUUGAAGUCCAUGUUAACUUUCUUGGGAGACAAGAUGGACGUAAUAGUAACCACAUCCAACCAAGCCAUCGCUAGGAACAUCUGUACAGUUGAGCCGUACAGGCUAAAUCGGUUGAGUGAUGACACAUGUUGGGAAAUAAUCAAGAAAUCCAUCGGUUUCGAAGGAGGAGAAGAAGAGUUGGAGAAGAUUGGACGGGAGAUCGCAAGCAAGUGCUGCGGUGUACCAUUAGUAGCUCAAGAGUAUGCAUCCAUUCUACAUUUUUCUUCCCGAGAUGCUAUUACAUGGAAAAAAUUCAUGGAAUGGAGUAUCUGGUCUAUUAUUAUGAAGUCCAUUUCUUCCCGAGUGUGGUUAUCCCUUGCAAGAUUCGAGCUAAGCUACAGGAGUAUGCCACCAGAUUUGAGGCUAUGCUUUGCUUAUUAUUGUGCAGUCUUCCCAACUGGCCACAACAUAGUCAAAGAUGACCUGGUUCAUCAAUGGAUUGCUCUGCACCUCAUUGAGCCAUCUGAAACAUUGUCUGCCGCACAGAUAGCAGAGGAGCAUAUUACCAGGCUUCAGAACAUGUCAUUCCUUCAAACUGCAGAGCUGGACCACACCCCGGGACCGCUGCUGAUGCCCCUACGAUCGACUACGUCGACGACGACCCUCCUUCUCGCCUGA
rnacentral:rRNA from 1 species